UGUUGCAGGAAGGGAUGACGAGGGAGGAGGCUGUGUUCUUCAAGGAAUGCAAGGAUAGAGCUAUCAAGGAUUUCAUUGUUGGCGCUUUUGCUUCUUCAGCAUUGUUUGGAUUGUAUGUAUGCAAUGCAGCAUCUAGGAGCUUGGUUCCUUGGCAUAGGUUUAGCCUUUCCGCUGGUUCUGGUAUGUUGGUAGGAAUGUGCAGGGAGGUUUAAUCAUUCAUUGGAUGUUUUUUUUUUUUGGGAAAGAGGAGUGGGG